CGCCGGUGGCUGGGGGGCGGCCGGGGGCGGCUCCGGCCGCCUCGGGACCCCGCCGCGGCGCCCCCCGGCUGUUAGCCGCCGGUCGCCCUGCGGAGCCGGGGGGAGAGCGGCAGAAAGCCCCGCGAGUGAAAAAAGCACCGAAAGGCGCCGGGUUCUCCUCAGAGCAGCCCGCUGUUUCGGGGGUUUCCCUUGCAAUCGGUGAAUGAGCCCGCGGCGGGGAGGGGCCCUGCCCGCGUCCCCCUCGGGCACAAAGGGCGAGGCCGGCAGCACGCCUCCGGCACCGGCACUGCCUGCGGGCCGGGGGCACGGCGGCUGCUCCUAAAGAAUAAAAAAGGUCGUUUAAUGAACGGCUUAUUUCGUGCUUUUGUUACAUCUCCAGAGCUCACCGCAGAGCUGCGUAACGUCGCACGCAGAAAUGCCUUUUAAAGCUCGUUACGGUCCCGAGCCAACCGUCUGCUCUUCGUGACUCAGGAGAGGAGGAUAUGCGGAGCGCAGGACAAACAAACAGCCGCUUCCAGUUUCCUUCUUGGGAAUGUUAAUUUGUUUUCCUUCUGGGCAGGCGGGAGCACAAAAUAAUGCCCUUCCGUGCUAGAGUCGUGUUACAUUUCUGGUGAUAUAAAUAAAUGGGCAAAUCGAGGUCCAGAUUUGCUCAGUCUGUGCCCAGACGAUUAAUUUUCCUUGUCUGAAGCAUCAUGAAGGCAGUGUUUACGCUGACUGUCACAAAGCACUUUUAAGAUAUUUCAGACACAAAAAGAGCCUUUCCAACUUGCCCUGCUGUAAUCUGCAAAUCCGUAACUCUCAUAGGAGGGACAGAAAGGGGCAGGGAGUGCAGGCCCCUUCUCUUCCAAGACAGAACCAUUCUGACGAAGUACACAUUAUUUAUUUUUACUUCCAAAGUUUAUACGUGGGGUUUGAUAUUGCCAAAUCCUUUCUGCGGGAUGUAAUCAGGCCAUUACGCUACAGUGUGUUUAAUAUGUUCUGACAUAACAUAAAAGUACAGCUAUGUAUGUCAUGUAUGUUGAAAGAGUGUACUAUAUGAUAAACUCAUCUCAGUUUUUGUUUAAUCCCAUUUCUUCAGUCAAAUUUGAAACAUUUGCUAAACAGAUUUUUGAAUCAUCAACUUGAAUUAGUAAAUUAAAAAGUUAUCAAUCAUCUUACUAUAGAGUAAAAUAAAAACUGAAAAUAAAUCCA
rnacentral:lncRNA from 1 species